UGGGGAAUAUUGCACAAUGGAGGGAACUCUGAUGCAGCGACGCCGCGUGAACGAAGAAGGCUUUCGAGUCGUAAAGUUUUUUUAUAUGGGAAGAUAAUGACGGUACCAUAAGAAAAAGCCCCGGCUAACUACGUGCCAGCAGCCGCGGUAAUACGUAGGGGGCUAGCGUUGUCCGGAAUCACUGGGCGUAAAGGGUUCGCAGGCGGAAAUGCAAGUCAGGUGUAAAAGGCAGUAGCUUAACUACUGUAAGCAUUUGAAACUGCAUAUCUUGAGAAGAGUAGAGGUAAGUGGAAAUUUUAGUGUAGCGGUGAAAUGCGUAGAUAUUAAAAAGAAUACCGGUGGCGAAAGCGACUUACUGGGCUCAUUCUGACGCUGAGGAACGAAAGCGUGGGUAGCAAACAGG
rnacentral:rRNA from 1 species